AGACGGUACCUGUGAAGGAAGCUCCGGCUAACUACGUGCCAGCAGCCGCGGUAAUACGUAGGGAGCAAGCGUUAUCCGGAAUUACUGGGUGUAAAGGGUGCGUAGGCGGCAUGGCAAGUCAGAUGUGAAAGACCGGGGCUCAACUCCGGGGCUGCAUUUGAAACUGCCAGGCUUGAGUACAGGAGAGGCAGGCGGAAUUCCUAGUGUAGCGGUGAAAUGCGUAGAUAUUAGGAGGAACACCAGUGGCGAAGGCGGCCUGCUGGACUGUUACUGACGCUGAGGCACGAAAGCGUGGGGAGCAAACAGGAUUAGAUACCCUG
rnacentral:rRNA from 1 species